rnacentral:rRNA from 1 species
UACGUAGGGACCAAGCGUUGUUCGGAUUUACUGGGCGUAAAGGGCGCGUAGGCGGCGCGGUAAGUCACUUGUGAAAUCUCUGAGCUUAACUCAGAACGGCCAAGUGAUACUGCAGUGCUAGAGUGUGGAAGGGGCAAUCGGAAUUCUUGGUGUAGCGGUGAAAUGCGUAGAUAUCAAGAGGAACACCGGUGGCGAAGGCGGGACGCUGGGCAGAUACUGACGCUGAGGAGCGAAAGCGUGGGGAGCAAACAGG